rnacentral:rRNA from 1 species
GAUGAACGCUGGCGGCGUGCCUAAUACAUGCAAGUCGAGCGAACGGACGAGAAGCUUGCUUCCUUGAUGUUAGCGGCGGACGGGUGAGUAACACGUGGAUAACCUACUUAUAAGACUGGGAUAACUUCGGGAAACCGGAGCUAAUACCGGCUGAUAUUUUGAACCGCAUGGUUCAAAAGUGAAAGACGCUCUUGCUGUCACUUAUAGAUGGAUCCGCGCUGCAUUAGCUAGUUGGUAAGGUAACGGCUUACCAAGGCAACGAUGCAUAGCCGACCUGAGAGGGUGAUCGGCCACACUGGAACUGAGACACGGUCCAGACUCCUACGGGAGGCAGCAGUAGGGAAUCUUCCGCAAUGGGCGAAAGCCUGACGGAGCAACGCCGCGUGAGUGAUGAAGGUCUUCGGAUCGUAAAACUCUGUUAUUAGGGAAGAACAUAUGUGUAAGUAACUGUGCACAUCUUGACGGUACCUAAUCAGAAAGCCACGGCUAACUACGUG